ACUGCUUUUAUUUGUAUUUUAGGUAAGAAUGUAUAUACAGUACCUUUUGUAUCAGGGUUGUUUAAGUAUUUAAAUAAUGUAUAUUUCUCGAUAUUAACUGAGUUAAAUAUAAUAUAAUUUGUUGAAUAACUAUAUUAAUUUAUUUAGUAGUGAAAAUUUUUCGUAGUUGAAGGUAUCUAGUUACUAAUAUAAUUAAGUAAGAGGGGUAAGCUUUUUAUUUAAAUAUAUUUUAAUAUAGGUGUGAUAAAUUAAGCUCAAGAUUAGCUAUAUUGAUAGUUUGUUUCAAAUUUUUUAUGGUUGUUGUAUGAGUAUUAUUUUUUGGUGUAGUAUUGGUGUUGUGAAUUAAUUUUAGUUGAAAUGAAUAAAUUAGUAUUUUUUUUUCUGUAAAAUAUAACUCGAAAUUUGUAGAAUAGUUUAUCAAAAACAUUUUUUUAUAUAUAUAUAAGAUAAGGCCUGCCCAGUGUAUUAAUAAACGGCUGCGGUAUUUUGACUGUGCUAAGGUAGCAUAAUAAUUUGUUUUUAAAUUGAGAGCUGGAAUGAAAGGUUUUAUCUAUGAAAUGUAUUAUUUGCAGGGUAAAUAAUUUAUAUUUACGGUAAAAAUACCGUAAUUAUAUAAAGUGACGAUAAGACCCUAUAAGCUUUAUUUAUAAGAUAAUGAAAUAAAGGAUUUAGUGUUUUUUGUUUUAUUGAUUUUACUGGGGCAGUAUUGUUAUUUAAAUUAAUAGUAGGUUAACAUAAAUAAAUGAGUAUAAGAUCUUUUUAUAAAGAUAAUUAGUGAGAGUUACUGUAGGGAUAACAGCGCAAUAGUUUUGGAGAGGCCUUAUUGAUAAAAUUGAUUGCGACCUCGAUGUUGAAUUAAAAUUUCUUUUUGUCGCAGCCGGCAGUAAAGAGGGUUUGUUCAACCCUUAAAUUUUUACAUGAUUUGAGUUCAAAUCGGUUUAAGCCAGAUUGGUUUCUAUCUUUUAUAUAUUAUAAUUUAUGUAAGUACGAGAGGGACACAUAAGGUUU
rnacentral:rRNA from 1 species